rnacentral:rRNA from 1 species
AUACGUAGGGGGCGAGCGUUGUCCGAAUUCACUGGGCGUAAAGCGCGCGUAGGCGGGUUUUUAAGUUGUGGGUGAAAUUCCGAGGCUCAACCUCGGAACUGCCUGCAAAACUGGGAGCCUUGAGGUAUGGAGAGGGAAGUGGAAUUCCUGGUGUAGCGGUGAAAUGCGUAGAUAUCAGGAGGAACACCCGUGGCGAAGGCGGCUUCCUGGCCAUAUCCUGACGCUGAGGUGCGAAAGCCAGGGUAGCGAACGGGAUUAGAUACCCCGGUAGUCCUGGCCAUAAACGAUGGAUACUAGGUGUUAGAGGUAUCGACCCCUCUAGUGCCGCAGCUAACGCAUUAAGUAUCCCGCCUGGGGAGUACGACCGCAAGGUUGAA